CUGCUUAUUCCUGACAUUACCAGAGACUGUUCUUCAUCAUCAUCUUCAUCAUCACAGCAGAAUUGUUCAUUGUUGUGUUCAGUGGUGAAUGUGAGUCAUGUGACUCUCUCCUGGUACAAAGGAAACAGUUUAUUGUCCAGCAUCAGUGUGUCUGAUCUCAGCAUCAGUCUCUCUCUACCUCUGGAGGUGGAAUAUCAGGAGAAAAACAGCUACAGCUGUGUGAUCAACAAUCCCAUCAGAAACCAGACCACACAUCUGAACAUCACUCAACUCUGUCACACACGUGCAGGUUUCUUGGUGUUGAUAUUUUUGUGAUUAAACUGAUCUCUCGGUUAUACAUUGUUGAUGUUUCAGUGUUUCUUGUAGAUCAGAUGAACAUAUUCACUCACAUUAAUGGUAAAUUGUGUCCAUUACAGAUCAGGGUUUAUCUUUAGUUUACACAGUGCUGAUUUCUUCGGCCGCUGGAUCUCUGUUGAUUGUAGCUGCAGUCGUGAUGUGCUUCAUCUGCUGGAAAGAUAGAAAAACAGUCCAGAUACAAGUGGAAGACAGAACCGAACCAUCAUUGUUUAAACCAACUAAAGGAAAAAUGAAACCAAUGGAGCAGCCUGUGUAUGAAAAUGUCCCCCCAAGAAGAUGAUUAACUAUUUACUGGAAUUAUUAGUGUCAUGCAUCACACCUUUUCUUUUUCACAUUUAUUCUCUGGCUGGAUGUCUAUAUUUAUUUAUUUUUUUCCAACCACAUGAACAUACAUUGUUCAAAUAUCGUUUCAAAUGUUGCUUUUCUCUGUUUUAGUUUAAUGGUGCACAAAUAACAUACAGAAACUCAACUUAAAUGUUACAUGGUCUCAUCUUAAGGGAGUUUAUAUAGCUUUCAACAUGAAAUAUUGAUCAAUUACUAUCAUCUAGCGUGUAGCAUGAUGACAAAACUCACUGAAAACCAAACUAAACACAAACAUACCGUAAAACCGAAACGAUUCGUGCAACAGGCCUCACAAUGACAACACGUGACAUUCAUGUUCUCAAACACUUUACAAGGUU